CUGUGCCCUCCACGUGCCUGGAAUGCUGAUGGAUAACCAGAGAUUUACCUGGAAUACACAGACUGUGCUUGUCAAGAUUGGAUAUCAAACACUGCAGACAAUCAGAUGUCAGCCCUGCAAGUGUGGCUUGGUGAGCAGCGAGGUGCCAGUGUGCCAGGAAUGCUG